rnacentral:misc_RNA from 1 species
UACGGAGGGGGCUAGCGUUGUUCGGAAUUACUGGGCGUAAAGCGCACGUAGGCGGCCUUGUAAGUUGGGGGUGAAAUCCCGGAGCUCAACUCCGGAACUGCCUCCAAAACUACAAAGCUAGAGGAUGCGAGAGGAUAGUGGAAUUCCGAGUGUAGAGGUGAAAUUCGUAGAUAUUCGGAAGAACACCAGUGGCGAAGGCGACUGUCUGGCGCAUUUCUGACGCUGAGGUGCGAAAGCGUGGGGAGCAAACAGG